rnacentral:rRNA from 1 species
UACGUAGGGGGCAAGCGUUGUUCGGAAUUACUGGGCGUAAAGGGCGUACAGGCGGUUAUAUAAGUCAGAUGUGAAAUCCUUAGGCUUAACCUAAGACUUGCAUUUGAUACUGCAUAACUUGAGAUCAGGAGAGGAGAGUGGAAUAUGUGGUGUAGCGGUGAAAUGCGUAGAGAUCACAUAGAACACCGGUGGCGAAGGCGGCUCUCUGGCCUGAUUCUGACGCUGACGCGCGAAAGCUAGGGUAGCGAACGGGAUUAGAUACCCCCGUA